rnacentral:lncRNA from 1 species
UUUUUUUUCCUAGUCAUAAAAUAUACGCUGUUUCUGCACAAGAGAGAAUAGAAAUAGCAUCACACAUGUCUGGAGGGAAAAUGCUGUAUGGUUGGGCCAGAAAAAGUGAAAGAAUCAUAAAAUGGUUUGGAUCUUUAAGGGACCUUAAAGAUCAUAUAAUUCCAAUCACCCUGCCAUGGGCAGGGACACCUUCCACAUCCCUCCAGUGCUCACUCAACAGACUGCCAGCCCCUUGCUUCUUGACAAACUCCAGAACAACAGCAAAACAUAGACACAAUCUGUCACCCCACACUGAAACCCACCUUGUCUCCCAUGCAGACCGUAAUGUGGAUGCUCUCGAACAUCACGGACUCCAAACACUUCAGAGGCAGGCAAGGGCACUGCCCUGGGCCCAGGCUGCCUGAUCCUGAGCCCUACUGCACCUUUAGCUUCCAAAUCUCGUGCUUUCAUACAAAUGUGUCACAUCAUAGACGCGAGGGUAUAGAAUAUACCCUUAUACCUUUGUGUAACACAUGCACCACGACAACAACAGAACAAGCAUGAAGUGGAGCACAUUCAACUUUUGCAGUAAGAAAAGCAAGCUUAGAAAAGUGAAAAAAAGAGUAGUUGGGGAGCUGAGGAAGCCAGAGUUCAAGUUCUUGGUCUACCACAGAGUUUUCGUAUGGCCCCGGUUGAGUUGUUUAUUCCCCGCACGCCUGAGCAAUAGCUUCGUGGGUGGUGCAGGGGAGAAAUACGUUAAAGACUGGGAGGUAUUUGGAUGCAGGCAUACCCAAGAGCUCUAGGACUGGCAUAUUUAUACAUACAGAAACCACUCGGAGACAAUCACUCAGAAAGCGCUCAGUUAUAGAAUAAUAAAUGCAUUAAUCUUGACAGAAAAUGUUAAAGUAAGCAUAAACAGAAGAAAGUAUCAGGGGACACAAGAACUGUGAUGAUUUCCCCUAGCUAAUUACAUGAUCUUAGAACUCAAGAAAAAGUACUUUCUUAUAAGCGUAACUUCACUUUUCUUGUGAGGGAUUCCUGUUGUCCAUAAAACCGAUGAGCAG